rnacentral:rRNA from 1 species
CCUACGGGAGGCAGCAGUGAGGAAUAUUGGUCAAUGGUCGGGAGACUGAACCAGCCAAGCCGCGUGUGGGAGGAAGGUAUAGAGUAUCGUAAACCUCUUCUGUCAGGGAACAAAGGCGGGGACGAGUCCCCGGAUGAGUGUACGUGAAGAACAAGCAUCGGCUAACUCCGUGCCAUCAGCCGCGGUAAGACGGAGGAGGAGAGCGUUAACCGGAUUUAUUUGGGUUAAAGGGUGCGCAGGCGGGCUGGUCAGUCAGAUGUCAAAUCCCGGGGCGCAACCCCGGCACCGCAUUUGAAACUGGCAGUCUCGAGUUGGGUAGAGGUAUGCAGAAGGCGCGGUGUAGCGGUGAAAUGCGUAGAGAUCGGGAAGAAUUCCGGUGGCGAAGGCAGCAUGCGGG